rnacentral:lncRNA from 1 species
CUUUGAUAAAGUUACUUGUAUAUUUGACUGGAUGUAGUCAAUAAUGAUGUCUCGUCACAAUAUUGAGACUGUCAAUAUUAAAAUUUGAUAGGCUACUAUAUACUUUUUUGUUUGUUUAAUUGUAUGGGUCAAUCAAACCUCCUGUAUGUAUACAUUUCUUAUUUUGUGUCAUCAGUUUAUCGUUAUCAGCUUUGCCUUUCUAAUUCAAAUUUGCAAUUUGUCAGAUUAUAUAAACCGACAUUACGGUUUUUCAAGUUUUGGUCGUGAAAGGCAGAUCUAUCAAAAAUCAAAGUAAUGUUUACCAAUAUAACUUAUUUGUUCAAAUUUAUGGUUUACUUUCUUUAAAUAUUUACCAUUUCACAGCUGUAUACUACUGUUGCCUUCAGUUAAUUACCCCUUAUGUUAUUGAUUGUAUAUUAACAUUGUGUCAUAGAUAAACAUGUUUUCAGUGUAUGUUCACUUUUGUUUAAAUUUCUUUUGAUUGAGUCAAGCCAAUUUAAUUGAUAUUUUAUCAUGUUUAUAGCGUGUCUUUUUAUUUAAUGAUGUUACUCUAUUGUUUCUGGGUAAGGGUAAAGGUUAAUACCUAUUAGAACGUUAAGACCCGCUGCAUUUGUUUGUACUUUCUCUAAUGUUCAGUUGUUUGUAGAUGUGUUUCUCUUUUCUCGUUUUUAUAUAAAUUAGACCGUUGGAUUUACUGUUGAAAAGGUUUUCCUCUAGUAAUUUUUAGGGCCUUUAAUAGCUUAUUGUUCGGUGUGAGCCAAGGCUCCGUGUCUAAGACUGUACUUAUACCUAGGAUGGAUUUUCUUUUUAAAUUGGGAAUCGGAUUGUCUCAUUGGCACUCAUACCACGUCUUCUUAUUUACAUAUAGUUUGAUUUUUCUUGUUUCUCAUUGGUUGAUAUGUUAUCGUGUUUUCCAAUAUACAUUUUGUAUUUUAGUUACUAUUUUGACAUAUUGACACGACGUUACUACAUUUAAAAAUGUUAUUGAUGUUACUAUAAAUUGUAACAUUGCGUCAAAAUCAUUUGAAAAAUAGCAAAACAGAUUCAAUAUAAUUAAAAAAAAAGUAACAUCGAGUCAAUAUCCUUUUCAAAUCUACGAUAUGCUGUACAUAUGUAAUAUAAACAUUAAGGUCUUUCCCUCAGUCAAUACGUUACAUGUAUAUACAGACUUGUUAGAAUAAUGGCAGUGGAAUUACAUGUAUGGUAACAAGCAAACUCUGCAGCAUGCUAGAAAGUAAAUGAAUUCUUAUAUCAAUAUAUUAUAGCAAAGAUAUUUAUUAUAAAAUUGAGAAUGGAAAUGGGAAAUGUGCCAAAGAGACAACAACCCGACCAUAGAGCAGACAACAACAGAAGGUCACCAACAGGUCUUCAAUGCAACGAGAAAUUCUCGCACCCGGAGGCGUCCUUCAGCUGGCCCCUAAACAAAUAUAUACUGGUUCAGUGAUAAUGAACACCAUACUAAACUCAAAAUUGUACACAAGAAACUCAAAGUUAAAAUAAUGCAAGACUAACAAAGGCCAGAGACUCCUGACUUGGGACAGGCGCAAAAAUGCGGCGGGGUUAAACAUGUUUGUGAGAUCUCAACCCCUCCCUUAUAACCUUAUUAUAUGUUUGAUUUACAUGCAAUCAUCAAUAUGCAAUAUUACUUUUGAUAACGUUUACCUGUAUACAGAUAGAGGACUUAAUAUAUAUAACGAAAUUCAGCAUGUUCAGGGUUUUGUAACAAUGUAUUUCUAUUUUUUGAAGAUCAAGAUGAACAACAUUAAAAGUUGUUGUCAAGUAUACAAUAAUUUCAAAUUGAUAUUUUAGACUUUUCAAAUCAGGCAAAAAUAUUAUUGGUUAAUUACUGUACUAUUACAAAUUGUCUGAACAAUAAAACUUUUAGGAGUAUUUUAUUGUGAGUCUAGAUGUGAAUAAAUAUGCUAAAUUAUGAUGUAAAUAACUCCUGUGGUCCUGUCUGGAAUGGUAUUUACAAGUUUAUCGUGUUUAGUUGUUUUGCAAAAAUUUGUACUGUAUUCCCGUCAUGUAAUGUUGUCAUGCUAGCAGUAUUUUUAACAAUGCCACACAGCGCGGAGGUUUGACUAGCCACAAAACCAGAUUCAACCCACUAUUUGCUCUCAAAAUGUCCUGUACCAAGUCAGGAAUAUGGCAGUUAUUAUAUAAAAGUUUGUUUCUAUGUAUGUUGCAUUGUUGUUUGCUUUAGUUGCUCUUCAGUGUUCUGUUGUUUCUUUAUUUUUUCCUCUUGUUGUUUAUGUGUCUCCCCGAUUUUAGAUUGCAAACUGGAUUUGUUUUCUCUCAAUCUAUUUAUUACAUUUGAACAGCUGUAUGCUACAGUUGCCUUUGUUGAUCAGCAAGAGGUAAUUUAAAAGUAAUAUAUGUUUGUUUAUGAUUAUAAGAAAUAUUAAUAUUUCAUCUUAAAUUUGAUUUUUUACAAAAUUACAGUGUUAUUUAAUUGUGUACGUGAUUGUCAUGCUCACAAUUUGUUUCAAUUUGUAUCAAGUUGUAUAUUAACUGUUCUCACGUCGAAUGAGUCUUCGGGUUGGGGAUCCGCACUUUAAAUUCGUGGCAGAAAUCUACCCCAUACCUUUGCUAUUCUUUGGCAUAUAUUCCAUUUAAAUGAUUGUAGUUCAUGGAUUUUCUUAUUUCAUAAUAAUUAUGAACUUUUAUGUGAAAUGUUUUUCGCAUGUUAUGACUUUGAUAAACGACCUGUAGUCGUCAAUUCAAUUUUUAAGACAAGUUUAGAAUCUGGCAUGCGUUUAAAUUAAUAUGUUUAUGAUAUCUAACUGUUUAUCUUAAAACCAAUUUUAUUUGCUCAUUAAAAAUUAAGGUCAAAUUAAUACUGGCGUCACACAUCAACGUAUAGUUCCGACGUACGCCGGGCGUGUUAAAAAAGCAUGUACGCUCUCAACACGCUAGUAAUUGUGGAUGCAUUCAACCUGUCAAUCAUAUCUGUAACGUGUGCAUAACGUGCGCUAAGCGUGUAUUACACGUGCGAAAAGCAUACAUUAGUGUGUAUCGGGCGUUCAAGAAACAUAUGUUGGCGUAUGCCUGGCGUUGGUCUAACGUACAAUUAAUGCACGCUACGAAGGAAAAUAGUCUCUUGAACGUAUUUGUGACGCAUCCCGGUCGUAUCUUUGACGUUCUAUUAUGGGGGGUUAGUUACAAACACACUCUCAUACGCUUAAGUUAAAGUCAAACCACCUUGAAGUGUAUAUCACGUGCCCUAAACGUGUAUUAAGCUUAUCUGUAGCGUUUAAACGCGCUUGUGGCGUAUGUAUUACGUGCAUGUAGCGUACAGGUAUACGCUAGACACACGUUUCAGCUGGAUGAAAAUUUGUAUGCUGCUUAAAAAUUUCCUCGAGUUGUAGCGUUCACCAAGCGUAUACUUUUGUAUUUCGACGUACUUCAAACUGAUGCAACGCACGUUUAACGAUUGCUUAGCGUUCCUCUGGAGUCCAACUAACGUAUACCGACUUUGUCAAUUUUCUCUGUACGUUUGGUGCACGUCUGUCUAUACGCCAAUGUGUGACGCCGGCAUAAGGUAUUAAAGACAGCAAGAACGAUUAUUCUGUACUUAUCGUGCUAUUUAUAUUGUGAAUUAAUAAUGUCUCUAGUCAAAUUAUCAGUUUUGUCAUACUCAAUUGGACGAUAAUUUGUUGAGAUUAGAUAACAUGUUUUAGCUUGUAGAGAAAUUACACAUAAUGACCAGUGUAUGAUCGAAUUACAUCUUUCUCAUUGGUCAAUGAUCAUGUGGGGUCAGCCCUAUAUAGCUUGUUGACUUGUAUGUGCGUUCCUUUUUAAUCAGCUUAUGUAUGACCUGUUAACUUAUUAAUCUUAUCAGACAAUACGAGAAAUUUCACAUUCCCAUACCUCCCUUAAUUUUAUCUUAAGAAGUUGAUAUGUAUAUAUAUUUAUUAAUGAGGCAGAUUUUUCUGCCCACUUUUGCUAUUUUUUGGCUUUUGUCCAAGUCAUACGAUUUCAGAUGAUGUUAUUUCGUAUUAAUAAUGUAUUAUAUUUUCCAAUUAGUUAUGAAC